GUCUAGAAUGGUCCAAGUCAGUUGCCCUCACUGGGUGUCUUCUCAGAGCUGUGGAGGCAGAAACGGGUGACAAGGCAUACUGAUCUUGACUCUGCUUAACUGGCAUAGAAUUAGUAUGUUUCAUCUGUGAUGUUUGCAGCAGCAGUUUUGGCAGAGAUUUUAACGGUGAAUGACACUGCCUGGCUGAGUGCUUUAGAAAUUCCGAUAAACCUUACAAAUUUUGCUUAAUAUGGAGAAUUCCUGCCCACAGAAGACAUUCGACGUAUCCUUAAUUUAUAGCAAACAUGCAUGGUGUGAAAGAUGUCCCGGACACAGACAGGCACUGAGACAGCCAGAUGUCCAAAA